rnacentral:rRNA from 1 species
UACAGAGGGUGCAAGCGUUUGUUCGGAAUUAUUGGGCGUAAAGCGCGUGUAGGCGGCUUUGCAAGUCGGGUGUGAAAGCCCUCAGCUUAACUGAGGAAGUGCGCCCGAAACUGCAGAGCUUGAGUACCGGAGAGGGUGGCGGAAUUCCCCCAAGUAGAGGUGAAAUUCGUAGAUAUGGGGGAGGAACACCGGUGGGCGAAGGCGGCCACCUGGACGGAUACUGACGCUGAGACGCGAAAGCGUGGGGUAGCAAACAGG